GCCAAGGCAAGGCCUGCCGAGGUGGGCAGCCCUAAGACUCCUCCGUCCCCACUUUUCCUCUUUCUCCGGAGUUCCCAGAUUGUGAAGGAGGAACCAGCGCCGGGAGCCAAAAAAGGCGGAAGAAGAAAAGGCCACCCGGGUUUCACCCAGGCUGUGACCUCCGAGGGCCUUCCUAGCCUGGUGAACAUGCCCUGGCCAGGCCACUUGAAAAAAAUCUGACCUAAGACCCCCACCCCAGACGUCCUGAGCCCCCGACCUAUUCUGUUCGUCAGAGUUUGCAGAACUUAGGGGCGGGGGGGGGGGGGGGGGGGGGGGCAGUAAUGGAGUCCCUGGGACAGACCCCCAUGGGCUGAGGCAUAAGGACUUUUGGAAAGGCCGCAGGGGGAAACAAGUGUUUAGUGUUCCAGUUCAGGGUCCCUGCCCUUCCUAUUUCUCAAUAUCGUCCUCCCCCCACUCGUCCCCAACUCCUUGGCCUUCCUGGGUGGAAAAUCUGUGAAAGCCGCUCCUCUCAAGAAGCGUUGGUAUUUUAAGUGGAAGGUAGAGAUCCACUUGGAACUGGUCCCUGUCUCCUUCUCCACCCUAACUUUUGGGGGGAGACUUGUUUUUAAAGUGGGUCUUGGGAGCCUGGGUGGCUCAGUCGGUUAAGCGUCGGACUUCAGCCAGGUCACGAUCUCGCGGUCCGGGAGUUCGAGCCCCGCGUCGGGCCAUGUGCUGACAGCUCAGAGCCUGGAGCCUGUUUCAGAUUCUGUGUCUCCCUCUCUCUGACCCUCCCCCGUUCAUGCUCUGUCUCUCUCUGUCUCAAAAAUAAAUAGACAUUAAAAAAUAAAAAUAAAAAAAUAAAGUGGGUCUGGGUGUCCUCAAGCCCCUCGUGGCAGAGCAGGGGUGUGUUAAAAAAAAAAAGGUUCCUUUAUCAGGCAGCUUAUCUGUGCCACUGUUUUCCUAACGUAUUGCUCUUGGCUUUACCAUGGUUUUCAGGGUACCAGAUAAUCAUGACCUUUUGAGAUAUCCUUCUCUUGACUAGACACCACCCACCUUGCCUGGCUCAUUCUGGAAAAUCUGUCCAGACCUCUCCUGCAGAUGUCAAAGGUGCUUGCCCUCCUCCUCCCCCCCCCACCUUCAGAGUAUGCAAAACUUUCCUUUCUCAAGCCACAACAGUAAACAUUCUACAAAUAUUUGGUGAUUGGAUAAGAAAUGACCAGUUGCAACUUGCUUUUAAAUCCUUUUUAGCGACUCUGUGCCUUUUGAUUGGAGAAUUAAUUACUGAUAAGUAAGGGCUUGCUAACACCAUCCUGCUGUUUUCUGACUGUUUUUGGAGUUCUGUGUUCCUUUCUUUGUCUUUCGUUGGCUUUCUUUGUAGGUGCUUGAUUUUCUCUAGGGGUAUGCAGUGGAUUUGGUCUGUUUAUGCUUGAUGAAUUUACCGUGGGUUUGGGUCUGUGGUUACCAUGAGGGUUACAUAACAUGUGUUGCAGAUAAAACAGAGCGUUUUAUGCUGAAAACUUGGCUCGCUCACAAAAACUUUACCCUUUUACUUACCCCUCAAUGAUUUGUGUUCUCAGUGUCAUAAUUUAUUUCUUUUUAUGAUGUGGGUCCAUGAAAACAGUCUCAUAACUAUAGUUAUUUCUUAACAGUUUUGCCCAUUAAGCCUUUAUGCUAAAGCCAUGGUUACAUAGCACCAUACUCCAGUAUUUGAAUAUUCUGCACUUGACUAUGUAUAUUUACUGUAUAUGUCUUUACCAGGAGGUUUUACAAUUUCAUGUUUUCUUGUUACUAAUUAGCAUCCUUUUGUUUCAUCCCGAGGAACUCUUUUUUCAGCAUUUCUUGUGAGGUAGGUCCAGUGGUGAUGAAUACCCCCAGUUCAUGAUGGUUUGGGAAAGUCUUUAUCUCUCCUUCAUUCCUGAAAGACAAAUUUGCCCUGUAAAGUAAUUUUGGUUUGCAGUUUUUUUCUUUUGCACUUUAAAUAUGUCAUCGCAGUCUCUCCUGGCUCGCAAGGUGUUUGCUGAGAAAUCUAAUAACGUUACGGGGGUUACUUUAUUUGUGAAAAACUCAUUUUCUCUUGCUCCUUUAAAGAUUCUCUCUUUGUGAUUUUAUGCCGUUUUGUUAUUUUGUGGUUUGGAGAAGAUUGUUUUAGGUUGAAAGUGUGGGGUGACUUAAUAGCUUCGUGAACUUGGAUAUCUAAAUUCCUCCCCAUAUUUGGGAAGUUCUCAGAUGUUCUUUCUUUAAACAAACUUUCUGGGGUGCCUGGGUGGCUCAGUCGGUUAAGCGUCCGACUUCGGCUCAGGUCAUGAUCUCACGGUCCGUGAGUUCGAGCCCCGUGUCGGGCUCUGUGCUGACAGCCCAGAGCCUGGAGCUUGUUUCAGAUUCUGUGUCUCCCUCUCUCUCUGACCUUCCCCUGUUCAUGCGCUGUCUCUCUCUGUCUCAAAAAUAAAUAAACAUUAAAAAAAAAUUAAAAAAAAUAAAAAUUAAAAAAAAAUAAACAAACUUUCUGUUCCUUUUGCCCACUCUUCUCCUUUGGAGGGUCCGGCAAUGCACAGAUUAUUUCUUUGCAUGAUAUCCUAUAAUUCAUAUAGGCUUUCUUCACUCUUUUUUUCAUUUUGCUUUUCUGGCCAUAUGAUUUUAAUAGACCUGUAUUGUCUUCACUACUCCUGCUUGUUGCAGUCUCCUGUUGAAGCUCUCUUUGAGUUCUUUAGUGCAGGCAUUGUAGUCUUGGACUCUAGGAUUUCUGCUUGACUUAUUAUAAUGUUUUCUGUUCCUUUGUUGAACAUCUCGUUUUGUCUAUGCAUUGUUUUUUGAAUUUUCUUUCGUUGUCUAUCUGUGUUUUCUUAGAGUUCACUGGAUUUCUUUAGGAGGAUUCUUCUGAAUUCCUCGUCAGACAGUCCAUAGAUCUCCAUUUAUUUAGGGUCCAUCAUUGAAAUUUUAUCAGUUUCCUUUGGAGAUGGUGUCAUGUUUCCUUGCUUAUUCAUGAUUACUGUGGCCUUGUAUUGGUGUCUGUACAUUUGAGGAUAUAGGCACCUCUCCAGUCUUCACAAACUAGUGUUGGAAGGCCAGCCUUUCACUACUCAGCUUGUCCAGAGAUUCGGGUGGGCAGUCUAGUGUUAUCCAGGGGUGGGCUUGUUAUUGGAGUCCUUGGGUGACCUGAUGCUGAAAAUGGUUGUAUGUCUGGACCAGCUGUAUUCACCCUGAUGUUGAGCCCUAGUGGGACCUUGGGUUCAUAGGUGUUGCUCCCAUGGAGCUAGGGUUUGUGGGUAUUGAUUGGGAGCCUGAGUUCAUAGGAGUCACCCAGAGCCAUGGGAGCCAGCUGGAGCUACCUGGGGCCAUAGGAGCCUGGUAGGUGAUGGAGUGGAUCAGGGGCUCGAACUCAUGAGAACAGUGAAAGAUACCUGGAGUUAUGGGGGCUCCCUGUGGCCACUGAGCCACUAGGGGCUACUGGAGCUAGCUGGCAUAAAGGUGGGCCAGGAGCCUCAUUUCCCAGGGGCCCUCUGUGAGGCCGGGGCCAGUGAAGCUGCCUAGAGCGUGUGGCCUGCCUGGGGUCACUGGAACUGGAAGGUUCCAGAGUGAACCAGGGUCUGUUCUCAUGGGAGCGUUGUAGAACCUGGUGCCACGGGAGCUGCCUAGGGCCACGGGUGCUUCCCUGCCUGAGUCAAGGAUUCUGCGUGGGGCUGCUGGAGCCACACGGGGAUGCUGGGGCUGCCAGAUUCCCGGAUGCAAUGAGGGGCCUGGAUUCUUGGGAGCCUGCAGGGAACCCUGCCUUGGCAGCUGUCUGGAGCCGUGGAUGGUGUCUGGGACCUCUGGAUCAGGCAGGUGCUGGAUGAGCUGGUUUCAUGACUCGUGGGAGCCUGCAGGGGAGUCACAGGAGUGGCUUUGGGGCCACUGGAGACAGCAGGUGCCUGGAUGAAAUGACGCCUGGGUUUCCGGGACCCUGCCCGGAUCCUGGUCACUGGAGCUGGCUGGCACUGGUGGGGAGGAGGCCCUAGGUUAGUGGGAACCUGCAGGGAGCCACUUAGACCUUCUGUGACUCAAGCUGCCAUGGUUCAGUUUGAAACCCUGGAAGAACUGGUAAAAAAUGGUUUUGGAUCAUGCUGUUUGUUGAAUACUUCGCCCUCUGAGAGGGGUAGACUGCAUAGGAUUAAAGCUGAAGGAUAAGGAAGAACCCUAUCCCAGCAGACUUGGGGGCCUGGGUGCAUAUUAGUACCUAACAUUUAUUGUGUUCUCUUCCUGGAACCCUGUGAGAUAUUUUAGAUCAACUCUUUCAUGUAAUCUGCAUAAUUAGCCUACAAGACUAGCUCUGUCGCUCCCACUGUAUGAAGAAGUAUGGUGAUCCUAUAGUUUGUCAUCUAAAUAUCAUCUUAAUCAUCUUCAUUUAAGAAGUGAAAAUGACCAGAGGGUUCUGUAGCACAACAGGCAUAAACUGGGACUUCCCUGAGCUGGGAUUUUUGGUCAGUUUCACAAAAGUAAGCUGGAAUCAGAGACAUUGAAUGAGUUAAGCUCGAAAUUGGGAAGUCAAACCCCAAAGUCCGUGCUUCUCCUUAUUACCAUGCUACCACCCAGAAAGAGAGAAGGCUGUAGAGAAGAGAGAACCAAGAGCAAUGUGACAGAAAGAUAACACACGUACUUACUUCCUGUAAGUAGAAUUUCCUUUUAGAAUAGAAUUUCCUGUAAAGAUAAAAAACCCUUCUGACCUUCAGAUAGGCCUUAGCAGAGAAUCAUCCCAUCACACUUGGAAAUGUACAGACAACACUGAAUAUAGUGUCUGGUAUAUUUUGAGCUUUCUUUUCUUUCUACUGGGAUUAUGUAUGGCUCACGCGUGGGCAUUGUAUUUAUGGGAAAAAUUUAACCUCAUGGAACACGUAUUGCACAAUGGGAUAAGAUAUAUAAAUUCUUUUUGUGCUCUUCCAUUUAUUAAAUUAUUUUGAUAACCAAUGAGAAAAAUUACAAACUGGCCUGUGACUGGCCUUUAAAAAGUGUUAACACAUUCAAAAUUCUCUCAUUGUCACUUACAAUUAUAUAGGAGAAUUUGAAAAGUGCUGAAACUCUUUACUUUGUUCUCUGUAUGUUAAAAACUUAGAAACACUGAAAAGUGCUUUUUGCACUUUAAUUCUUGGUGUUUAUGUCUUAAAUUACAGGGUGCUACAUAAAUAUUAUACCUAUAAACCAAUAGCGCUCUUUAUUUUACCCUUUCUUGGCUUUAAAAUUCUGCUUUUAUCCCAGAUUAAAUCACACAGAGUUAAUUUCUGGAACGCUUUAAGCACUCAGCACCCGAUGUCAAGGCUGUUUCUAUACUAUUGAGUUUUAAAAAACAAAAUGUUAAAAAUCCUUAUAGCGUUAGCUACACGGGACUGAUGAAUCCCCAAAAGAACAACUAGGAAUUGACACUGCAAUUUUCCCUUAUUCCAUUUCUCCUCCUUUGUUGGUGUAUCUGUCAAUUUCUUCUUGUAAUUCCAUGAAAUUCUUAUUAUAUAUCCUUUAAGGCUAUGUUAUUAGCUGCAUGCAAAUAAAUUUCAUUCAGGGAUUAAAUCUUUUUUUCCAGUGAGUAGUAACUUUAUUUCACCCUGAAUAUGAUGCUUUUUGCCAUACAAUCUGUUAUAGCUCAGGGUUUCCAAGAGGCACAAACUCCCAUCUAGUUCACGUCUGUAUCCUCGGAGACUGGCAGUGUGUCUCAGAUAUAGCACAUGUUCGAAACGGGUCUGUGGACAUGCCUUCAUUAUUAUAAGACUCCGUCUUACUUGCGUGGUUUCUGUGAACUUUUUGACGAAGACGGGUAAAUUUCUCCAGACGUCUGGAGAGUAAAAAACAGAACAAAGCAAAAAACCCCAAGACUACGUUGACAAACUGUGUGUGACUGACUCACAGAUGAAAUUUGAGUCAAAGCGUGGCCCUAACCUGGUGUUCUUUUACAAACUAGGUUCCGAGGCAUAUAUCUAAAGCAUGGAUUCCAUUUCUCAACCGGCUGUGACCUUGAUCCAUGACCAAGCCCCUUGAGCAGAAUUUUUUCAUAUGAACAGUAAGUAUAAGGAGCAGUUUCACUGCCUAGUGACAAGGUUCAAAUGAGAUAACAUAAAAGUCUUUGCCAGCAUGUGAAGCUCAUAGUAAAUGUUAAAAUAUGUUGUUCUUCCAUUAUAGCUCUAUGGAAAUAAAAAUAAAGUACCAGCAAUAGCUCUGCUACCAGUGUGGGGAAUUCAAAGUGACGUUAAGUUCAUGGUCAGUCUUCUGCUCCUCCCAGCAGGAAGUCAGUGAGCUGUUUAAGUCAAUUGCUGAUACUUCUGUGGAAAUCAUGAUUAGUUGAAUUAAUUAUUCAAAGCGCAUGUGUGAAACAUGUCCUUAUGAGAACAAGCUUGCAAAAGUACACGGUUUAUAACAGAAAAAGUCUAGGUAAUUUGGGACUUACCCAGUUUCCUAAUUUAAAUACAUUCUGAUUCAUUCUUUACAUUGUGACCAGAGAGAUCCUUUCAAUACAGAUAGGAUCAGGUCACGUUCUUGCAUAAAAUCUUUCUAUAAUUCCUCCUCUGCUCUCAGUGUGCAACCCAAACUCCUAACAGUAGGUAAGGCCACAUGAUAGAAUUAUGUCACUGUUUCCUUUCCAUCUUUCAAAUGCCUGCGCCCCAUCUCCCCGACCUUGUUACCAAAAAAUAAAUAAAUAAAAGAAAUCGUACCCUAAAUACUUUUCCAGCUACCGGAUAGCUCCGGACUGGUAGAAGCGUUCCAGAAUGCGCAGUAGUCAAGCCAGAGCUCCGUGGUGUUCACGUCCACUGGAAAUGAGAACAGGAGUCGCCCACUAACGCACUGUCUCUUUAUUCUGUGGUUUCAGAGACCCUGGGUAAACUGUGGUCUGGAAGUAGACGAUUCUCCUGACAUAACAUCAGAAGGUCAGCAGUAGCCUAACACUCCAUCUCCCUGCCUGCCUACAUCAUUAACCUCAGUUCAUCUCAUCACAUAGGCAUUUUAUCGUCUCAACCAUCGCACGA
rnacentral:lncRNA from 1 species